rnacentral:tRNA from 1 species
GGCGGCAUACCCAAGCGGACCAAGGGAACCGAUUGCAAAUCGGUUAUUCGUGGGUUCGAAUCCCACUGCCGCCU